rnacentral:hammerhead_ribozyme from 1 species
AUCCAGCUGACGAGUCCCAAAUAAGACGAAACAUGGGUCCUGGAU